GAUGAACGCUGGCGGCGUGCCUAAUACAUGCAAGUCGAGCGAACAGACGAGGAGCUUGCUCUUCUGACGUUAGCGGCGGACGGGUGAGUAACACGUGGAUAACCUACCUAUAAGACUGGGAUAACUUCGGGAAACCGGAGCUAAUACCGGAUAAUAUAUUGAACCGCAUGGUUCAUUAGUGAAAUACGGUUUUGCUGUCACUUAUAGAUGGAUCCGCGCCGCAUUAGCUAGUUGGUAAGGUAACGGCUUACCAAGGCGACGAUGCGUAGCCGACCUGAGAGGGUGAUCGGCCACACUGGAACUGAGACACGGUCCAGACUCCUACGGGAGGCAGCAGUAGGGAAUCUUCCGCAAUGGGCGAAAGCCUGACGGAGCAACGCCGCGUGAGUGAUGAAGGUCUUCGGAUCGUAAAACUCUGUUAUUAGGGAAGAACAAAUGUGUAAGUAACUAUGCACGUCUUGACGGUACCUAAUCAGAAAGCCACGGCUAACUACGUG
rnacentral:rRNA from 1 species